UCCUCGCAAGGAUAGUGGUGAGUAUCCCCGCCUGUCACGCGGGAGACCGGGGUUCGAUUCCCCGCCGGGGAG
rnacentral:tRNA from 1 species